UCAGUUCGGAUUGCAGGCUGCAACUCGCCUGCAUGAAGCUGGAAUUGCUAGUAAUCGCGGAUCAGCAAGCCGCGGUGAAUACGUUCCCGGGCCUUGUACACACCGCCCGUCACACCAUGAGAGUCGGGAACACCCGAAGUCCGUAGUCUAACCGCAAGGGGGCGCGGCCGAAGGUGGGUCCGGUAAUUGGGGUGAAGUCGUAACAAGGUAGC
rnacentral:rRNA from 1 species